CCUAAGUGUGAUUGAAGCCGUUUGAAGGAGAAGGAGAAGGAGAAGGAGAAGGAGAAGGAAGCAACUGGUCGCUGAAUCGCCUUUGAAAAUCGUGAGGAGCCCUUCAAGUUCUUACGAUUUGGUGCCCAUACUCUGCAGGUAACACCCAUUCGCUGAAUCGUCUUCAAUGGCUUCUUAUUUAUUUAUUUAUUUUUUUUUGGGUAAACUUCACUCCCCCCCGCUGAACUAAGGCGAUCCUUAGUUCAGUUCUCCUCAGAGCUGCUCCACAAGGUCCUCCAGACUUCAGAAUCACAAAACACAGAACUAAGCAAAGCGAGAAAGAGACACUCACAGAGAGAGAGAGAGGGGGAGAGAAAGACAGAAAUCAAAUCUCUCCCAUACAAUGGGGUGAAAGGGAGGAAGCAGCUGUUCUCAUAGCUGCGUGUAGGAACUCCGAGACCAAUUCUUGAUUUUAUGGCAAUUUUGACUUUGAAAACAGAGGAAGGAGUUGUAGUUGUCGUAUAAUUUCUGAACUUGUUCUCUGUUGAUCAGGCACAAGGACUAAGAGAUUAUAUUUCUCUUUUCACUUCCAAAUCGGUUGUUUUAAAUCCAGUCAAGUUUGAUUCUGGCUUGGAUCUCUUACUUGAGUUUUUGUAAUUUGUACAAGGAUCUUGUGUGAGGUUUUUUUUUUUUUUUGGUGAUUUUGGGAGGGUGGUCUUGAGCAAUGUUCUUGUUCAUGAGAUUCCUAUCUUCAAUCGGCUUCGAUCUUGGUUUUUUUUUUUACGUUAGACGAUUGAUGUGGAGAAAUCUUUGCUUCAAUUGGCUUCAAUCUUCAAUGGGUUUUGAUUUGCAGUUUGUGGUUUUUGGUUUUUGGUGGGUUACACAAUCCACACGACCUUUGCGAAAUGAUUCGCAGAUGAGGACAUUUUAUAUUAGUCCCACAACCAGUGCAAUCCUUGGGAUUAGUCACUGCGGUUAAGUUUGGAACUCUGUACAGACAAGCUAGUGAAUGUGAAAAAACAAUAGGACAAAGAGGUUUAAAUGGGAUGUUGCUCUAAUGCAUGUUAUUAAACCCUUUUUGUGGGCUGGAGCAUCAAACAGAAAAAAUGGGGUUGGAGAACCAAACACAAAAGUUCUAGCUUCCUUGACAUCCAAGAUAUGGACAAAUGAAGACCAGUCCAUUUGAUAUGGACAAUUUUUUCUUAAAUCAUUAUUACUAUACCUUAUUGAACUGUGCAUGCUUGUUCCUAAUUUACUCAGCUUUCUAUAUUGUUGUAGUUGGAAGGACCAAUUGGAAAGAUCUACAUCUGUUCUGUUAUGGAGAUAAGGGUAGGAAUAUAUUAUCACUACAAUGCAAACACCUCAAAGCUUACAGUAGUGGAUCUAGAUGAGUAUUGUUACAGAGACAUGGUGACCGACAUAUAUAAUACUGUUAUCAGGCAUGUCCCCAUAGGCCAUAAUGUGAGAUUUAAGGUGAAGUGCAUACUUUCGAAUAAUCAGGAUCUGGAGGUUGACAAGGAUGAAGUUGUGGUUCAAUUGUUUGAAUUGAAUUCAGAAGUUGAUUACAGUAACUUAUAUGUAUAUGAUCUGUAUGUUGAUGAAAGACCAUCUGGAAAAUACACAGUAAAUGCAUUACCUAGUCAGCUGGUUAAAAGAGAUGAUGAUGCUAUAGUUGGUGUUGGUACUAUCAUCCAACAAAGUCAGACUGGGUUUGGUGAGGAUAUACAGCAAAGUCAAGAUUGUGUUAGUACUAUUAUCUAACAAAGUCAGACAGGGUAUGGUUCUAAUGUACAACAAGAACAGAUGAGUGGUGGUAGCAGAAGGAAGCAUCAACAGAGAAGUGGGGAAUCCUUUAAGGCUUCCAGUAGUAAAGGGACUGGUGGAAUUGAAACUGAUAAAAAUAUAUUUAGUAGUGUGGAAUUGAAAUGAUAAGUGAUACUGACUGUGAUGAAGAAAGUGACAAGGAGCGGAAAUUAAAUAGUGAAGAUGAAAAUAGCUUUGAAGAUAGUGAUAGUGAUCAGGAACUUGAGCCAAAAAAAGAGCAUUUAUCUGACUUGCGGGAUGAUGUAAGAAGGGAUCAGUCAGGUAAUAAUGUAAAGGGUGAUGUGCAUGAUAGUUGGUCUGAUUAUGAUUCUGAUGAAUUUUACAAACCAUAUGUUGAAAAUGUUAGUUCUGUUGGUACUGAGAAAAAUAAAUUAGAAGUUGGAAUGGUUUUUGAUGAUGUUAAUCACUUCAGAUUUAUACAUAGGGACCAUGUAAUUGAAGAAGGCUUUCAAAUUUUGAGGGUUAAGAAUGAGAAAACCAGAGUAAGAGCUGUGUGUGCCUCAGAAGGAUGUACAUGGAGCAUCUUUGCUUCACCUUGUGAUCUUGGAGCUACAUUUAUGAUCAAAUCAAUGUGUAUUGUGGGAGAGUUGAUCAAAACAAGAAUGUUACAUCCACAUGGGUAACUUCCCAUCUUGCAGCACAGCUAAGGGCAGACCCAAACAUGAAUACUGAUGCAAUGAAGACAUAUUUUAUGGAUAAUUUCAGGAUCAAUGUCCCUUACUAGACAUUGUAUAGAGCCAAGAAGAGAGCAAGUGUGCUAAAUGAAGGCAGCCAUUCCAAGUCAUAUGCCAAGCUACCUGCAUAUGGUGAAAUGAUAUUAGAAAGAAACCCAGGGAGUAUGUUCAAACUCCAGUUUUAUGAGAGGAUCAUAAUGUCAGAUCCCGCUGUGUUUAAAAGGCAAUUUGUUGGCUUUAAGGCAUGUGUAGAUGGCUUUUUGAAUGGGUGCAAACCCUUCAUUGGGGUAGAUGGUUGUCAUCUAAGGGGGGGCAUAUGGAGGUGUUUUGUUGGCAGUAGUGACUGUUGAUGGGAAUAAAGGACUGUUCCCAAUUGCAUAUGGUGUGGUAGAAUGUGAAUGCAAAGCGAGUUGGAAUUUCUUCCUCAGCAAUUUGUAUGUCAUUCUAAAUAAAGUCAAUUAUGUCAAAUCCAUCACUUUCAUGUCUGACAAACAGAAGGGACCAUGUGAUGCUAUAUUCAAUACAUUCCCGGGAUCUCAUCACAGAUGGUGUAGUAGACAUCUAUAUGCCAAUUUCAAGUCACUACAUCCUGGAGUAUUGUUGAGAAAGCAUCUUUGGAAAGCAGCAAAGGCAUCAAACCAGUUUUACUUUGACAAAGCAAUGAAUGACAUGAAAGCCACCAAGAAGGAAGCUUUUGAUUGGCUAAGUAGGAAUCCUCCAAAUUUGUGGGCAAGGCAUGCCUUUGAUUUCAGCUACAAAUCUGAUCAUACCACUAAUAAUAUGACAUAAUCAUUUAACCAAUUGAUUGGAUAGUACAGAGGAAAACCAAUACUGAUUUUGAUUGAUGAGAUCAUGAAGCAACUGAUGAAGAAGAUGCAACAAAGAUAUCAAUUAGAAUGUAGCUUUAAGGGUAGAGUCACACCCAAAAUCAAGACUAAAUUGGAUGUGGUGGCCACUGAAGCUAGGGGUGCAUGAUCCUUACGGCUGGAAUAGAUGAAUUUGAAGUCACAGAUAGUGAUGGGAGAUAUGUUGUAGAUUUAAGGAAGCAUACUUGUACUUGUAGAGUAUGGGAUUGUUCUGGACUACCAUACAAGCAUGCAGCCGCUUGUGUAAGAUACAAGAGAGAGAGCUUGGAAAAGUACUGUGAUGAGUACUACAAUGUGGCAAAGUACAUGAUAGUUUACAAGGACAUUAUUCAUGCAAUGCCUGGUCUAGAUGAGUUGAAGGAGGAACACAUGAUGGGGAUUUUUCAACCUCCACCUUUAAAAAGAUUGGUCGGUAGACCAAUUAAAUGUAGGAGAAAGGACCCAGAUGAAGAACCAUCAGGACAGUUCAGAAGAAGAUCCCAUACUAUUCAGUGUAGUAGAUGCAAGUCCACUGAUCACAAUGUGAGGAGAUGUGAAGGAGCCCCAGUGAAAGACAAAGCUGCUUCUUCUGGGAAGAUAGUAGGGACAUAGAAGGAGAAAAGUAUGGGAAGCCAAUCUACCAUCAACAAUUCACAGAUAUUGACUAGGUCACAAGCUUCCUCUACCACCACUGAAGUGAACAUACAGUUGAAGACCAAAGCAUAGUUGAAAUCAAAAGAAGAGAAAAAAAAAGCACGAGAAGCGUAAAAAAUGGCAAGGAAAGAAGGGAGUACAUCUGGAGCACACUGAGAAGGUUGAAGGCUUUCAAAUGGGAUUGAACAUAAUAGCUUGGGAUGGGAUGGGAUAUCACUUUGUAAUCUUUUCUUAGCGUUAUUGUAUUCCUUGAGUAGGUGCAUGGCACCAGUCAUUGGCUGAUAUGUUUUUGAUGUUUUUCUUGGGAGAUAUUAAACUUGGUAUCAGUUCUUGAAUCAUUGGCUGAUGUGGUUUUUGAUGUUUUUUGGGAGAUAUUAAACUUAUAUGUUUAUUAGACAUUAAAUUUAUAUGUUCAUAUAUGAUUGCAUUAUCAGGUUCA